ACGGGAGGCAGCAGUGGGGAAUAUUGCACAAUGGGCGCAAGCCUGAUGCAGCCAUGCCGCGUGUGUGAAGAAGGCCUUCGGGUUGUAAAGCACUUUCAGUCGUGAGGAAGGUAGUGUAGUUAAUAGCUGCAUUAUUUGACGUUAGCGACAGAAGAAGCACCGGCUAACUCCGUGCCAGCAGCCGCGGUAAUACGGAGGGUGCGAGCGUUAAUCGGAAUUACUGGGCGUAAAGCGCAUGCAGGUGGUUUGUUAAGUCAGAUGUGAAAGCCCGGGGCUCAACCUCGGAAUAGCAUUUGAAACUGGCAGACUAGAGUACUGUAGAGGGGGGUAGAAUUUCAGGUGUAGCGGUGAAAUGCGUAGAGAUCUGAAGGAAUACCGGUGGCGAAGGCGGCCCCCUGGACAGAUACUGACACUCAGAUGCGAAAGCGUGGGGAGCAAACAGGAUUAGAUACCCUGGUAGUCCACGCCGUAAACGAUGUCUACUUGGAGGUUGUGGCCUUGAGCCGUGGCUUUCGGAGCUAACGCGUUAAGUAGACCGCCUGGGGAGUACGGUCGCAAGAUUAAAACUCAAAUGAAUUGACGGGGGCCCGCACAAGCGGUGGAGCAUGUGGUUUAAUUCGAUGCAACGCGAAGAACCUUACCUACUCUUGACAUCCAGAGAACUUUCCAGAGAUGGAUUGGUGCCUUCGGGAACUCUGAGACAGGUGCUGCAUGGCUGUCGUCAGCUCGUGUUGUGAAAUGUUGGGUUAAGUCCCGCAACGAGCGCAACCCUUAUCCUUGUUUGCCAGCGAGUAAUGUCGGGAACUCCAGGGAGACUGCCGGUGAUAAACCGGAGGAAGGUGGGGACGACGUCAAGUCAUCAUGGCCCUUACGAGUAGGGCUACACACGUGCUACAAUGGCGCAUACAGAGGGCGGCCAACUUGCGAGAGUGAGCGAAUCCCAAAAAGUGCGUCGUAGUCCGGAUUGGAGUCUGCAACUCGACUCCAUGAAGUCGGAAUCGCUAGUAAUCGUGGAUCAGAAUGCCACGGUGAAUACGUUCCCGGGCCUUGUACACACCGCCCGUCACACCAUGGGAGUGGGCUGCAAAAGAAGUAGGUA
rnacentral:rRNA from 1 species